CUUGUACUCCCUCCGUCUCAAAAUUCUUGUCUUAGAUUUGUCUAAAUAUGGAUGUAUCAAGUCACAUUUUAGUAUUAGGUACAUGUGUAUCUAAACAAAUCUAAGACAAGAAUUUUGGGACGGAGGGAGUACACU
rfam:Triticum aestivum genome assembly, contig: Triticum_aestivum_CS42_TGACv1_scaffold_423634_5BS